rnacentral:lncRNA from 1 species
CCUAAGAACAAGAAGAAGAGAAAGAAGCAUGUAAAUUUUGUUAUAUCUAGGCUAGUGCUACUAUCUAGACCAUUGAUGAAGGUGCUAGCAUGGGUGGCAAGUUGCUGAUCUCUUUUGUUGCAUUCUAGUAGGCAUGGCACCUUGUCCAACAUUGGUUUGAAUGAUCAUCACUAUGAAACAUUUUUCUACUUUUUUUCCUUAUUUGUUGGAUAGAUAGAUAGAUAUCCAAUCCAAAUUGGACAAUCUCAUGCCUA